GGCCGAGCCAAGGUCUCCGCUGAGCACAGCAGGGCAGGGCGCCUGUGCCUGCAGCAAACACAAAGUGAGCCAGCAAAGUCCAAGGGCAGGAGCUGGAGAUGGCUCCCGGCUGGUGCUAGGGCAGCUUCAAGGAAAACCACCCCAGCCGCUGAAGGGUUACAUCUGGGCCCACACCUAAACGGACUUUGCUUCUCCAGAAACCUCAGAAGCAGAAGCAAAGAAACAGUGGUUUCCAGUCCUCCUAACGAGUGGCCCUUGAAGAUCAAUUCAGAAAUAAAGA